rnacentral:rRNA from 1 species
UACGAAGGGGGCUAGCGUUGUUCGGAAUUACUGGGCGUAAAGGGCGCGUAGGCGGCGUGCCAAGUCAGGCGUGAAAGCCCCGGGCUCAACCUGGGAACCGCGCUUGAGACUGGCAUGCUCGAGUUCGGGAGAGGAUGGUGGAAUUCCCAGUGUAGAGGUGAAAUUCGUAGAUAUUGGGAAGAACACCGAUGGCGAAGGCAGCCAUCUGGACCGACACUGACGCUGAGGCGCGAAAGCCAGGGGAGCAAACGGG